rnacentral:lncRNA from 1 species
GCGCAAGAAGUCCGGUAUCGAAGAUGAGAAGGAGAAGGAUAACUUUGCUAACGAACAUGCCGGAGGCACACAAACGAAAACGAAUCGAUAUGAAUGUGGUAGAUCAUCUAUUUCAGCACAGAUUUGAGACCCUUAGUCUGUAGGAAAAAUGAGAGGUAAAAUGUCUUAUGUCUUGUGCUCUGCAGUCUAUUUAUGUUUUUCCAGUCUUGUAUGUUCCCACUGCUGGCCUUCGCCUUGUCGUGGUGGCGAGUGGGCUUUAAACCAAGACAGGCCAUUCUGAAUCUUUUCUUUCACAGCUAUUUUCUUUGAUUUCUCCUCCAGGACACUGCUUAGGCCUAUGGGAGGUGUACUCCAUGGUAAAAUGAUAUUGGUUUUUAUAGUAACACCAAGCCAGGGCUACAAACAGCAUGGUGGGACACUUGACUAAGUAAGACCAAUGAAGGAAGCUCAAUCUCUAUUUUGAAAUACUUUUGCUUUUUUAGAAAAAUUACCAUUUUUAUUUUUUAAUAUAUUAGGGCUGUAACUUUUUCCAAAAAUGAAUUUCAAACAAAAUUAAAAUGCCCCAUAAUUUGUUUGGAUGGAUGUCUGCAUGCCUGAAAAGCCAGUAGAAGCACACAACAAAAAGUGAAGGGGUCUACCAUUUUUGUUGAAUGAUUUUGGCAGUUUAGACGCUGUUCAGCGUAUGAAUGCCCUUCACAGGUCAGAUGUUGUACUAGAUUAUACAGUCCUGUGUUGUGCAGGAUAGCCGGGAGCAGGCGGAGUCAACGUCUACAAAGAUCGCCACGACUGUGAAAAUAAUCGGGAGACGUCACGAACACUGGAAUCCAUCUGUGCCGCCCAGUUGAUCACCGAGGACGAGGGCUUGGGUCGGCUGGCCCACACGGUGCAGGUCUUGGUGGACCUUGCGCCGACUGCUGCCAGCCACCGCCGCGCUAGCAGACCGGAGCCACUAGGGGCGGACAGGCUAAGCACUGCUCCAUCCUUCUCUCCGCUCCAUGGCGUCCACUGAUUCCUGUCAUCCAAAUGUCCAAAAUGGUACCCCAAAAAAAUUCUUCUGUGUUUUCAAGUAAAAACAGGCGUUUAGUUAGAUUUUUUUGGUUUU